GCUCCCUUCGUCUAGCGGCCUAGGACGUCGCCCUCUCACGGCGAAAACAGGGGUUCGAGUCCCCUAGGGAGCGCCA
rnacentral:tRNA from 1 species